GAGUCUGUGUGAUACAACGAAAUACUUUAAGAUACAACGCAUACUGUGGCCCGCGGCGGGUGUUGACGCGAUGUGAUUUCUGCCCAGUGCUCUGAAAGUCAAAGCGAAGAAAUUCAAUGAAGCGCGGGUAAACGGGGAGAGUAACUAUGACUCUCUUAAGGUAGCCAAAUGCCUGGUCAUCUAAUUAGUGACGCGCAUGAAUGGAUGAACGAGAUUC
rnacentral:ncRNA from 1 species